GAUGAACGCUGGCGGCGUGCUUAACACAUGCAAGUCGAACGAUGAAGCUCAGCUUGCUGGGUGGAUUAGUGGCGAACGGGUGAGUAACACGUGAGUAACCUGCCCUUAACUCUGGGAUAAGCCUGGGAAACUAGGUCUAAUACCGGAUAGGAGCGCCUACCGCAUGGUGGGUGUUGGAAAGAUUUAUCGGUUUUGGAUGGACUCGCGGCCUAUCAGCUUGUUGGUGAGGUAAUGGCUCACCAAGGCGACGACGGGUAGCCGGCCUGAGAGGGUGACCGGCCACACUGGGACUGAGAAACGGCCCAGACUCCUACGGGAGGCAGCAGUGGGGAAUAUUGCACAAUGGGCGAAAGCCUGAUGCAGCGACGCCGCGUGAGGGAUGACGGCCUUCGGGUUGUAAACCUCUUUCAGUAGGGAAGAAGCGAAAGUGACGGUACCUGCAGAAGAAGCACCGGCUAACUACGUG
rnacentral:rRNA from 1 species